rnacentral:lncRNA from 1 species
UGACUCAUCUCGGUAGCUAUUUUCAUUUCACCAUGGAUUGCACAGGACGAGAGUAAUGCUCUCCAGAUCGCAACAUCAGGCUUGAAAGGCAUUGUCUUGGCUAAUUGUGCGGCAUCCUCCAGUUGUCCAUUUCGACCCAAUGCAAGAACUACACAAGUAUAAUGCUCCAGUUUAGGUUCCACCUCGUAUUCUGAACUCAUGCAAUUAAGCCAUUUCUCAGCCUCAAGACUCAAACCUGCAUUACUACAAGCAGUGAGAAUUGCAAGAAAACUGAAUUCAUCAGCAAGAACCCCGUUCUGUUUCAUACAAUCAAACAAUCCAAUCACUGAAUUCACAUCCCCUUGUUGGGCAUAAGCCGCCAUCAUUGCAUUCCACCCAACAAUAUUCACAUCCCCCAACAUUUCAUCAAAACCACGAUGCGCAUCUGAAACAAUCCCUGAUUUUCCAUACCCAUCAAUCAAUGCAGUUCCCACAACAACACUUGAAUCAAGCCCUGUAACAAUACUAUGGGCAUGCAUUAUCCUACAUUGUUCAAGUGCAGCUAGUUCAGCCGCAGCACAAAGCGCACCAGACACACUGUACGGACUAGACUUUGCAUUGUCAUACAACAUAUCAGAAAACACAGAUAGAGCUUGGGUCGAUUGAGAAUUUUGCGCAAGACCAACAAUUAUAGCCCCAUAACAAACUUCAUCUCUUUCAGACAUUCUAUCAAACACCUUGACAGCUUCAUAAGGCAUGUUACAUUUUGAGUAAAAACUAACUAAAGCAGAACCAGUGAAAGGUAAGUAAGAAAGACAGAGUUUCAGAGAAAGGGAAUGAACUUGAAGACCAAAGGGGAGAGAAGAGAGAGAUGCGCAGGUUUUGAUGAGAGAGGUUAACGUGCGUUGAUUGGGCACUGUAGGAUGACGGAGCAUGGAAACAAAAUGAUGAAGAGACAAGUUGGUGUUGGCGUAUCCAGAGAUCAGAGCCGUCCAUGAGACUACAUUGGGAUAUUGAAUUUGAUGAAAAACACGGAGAGCGUCAGAAAGUAGAUUUGAUUUGGAAUAUUCGGUGAUGAGAUUGUUGAAUAGAAAUCGAUCUUUGUUGGCAGUUUUAAUAAGUUGCGCGUGGGUGCACCGUGGAUCGCUUGUUUUUAAAAUUUCUUCCAUGUAAACACACGAAUACAACUCACUCUCCUUUGAGAUGGUGCUUUUGUUGCUCACUUGCUCCGUUGCUCGCUCAAAGCAACAAAAUGACAAAAUCAGGUCAGAAAUGGGCUGAUCUUGCAAAACAAUAUCUAGCCCAAAUUGAUUAGGCCCAAAUAUAAUUUAAUUAAUUAUUAAUGAAUUGCACCCAUGUUCAUGUAAUCUUGUUCAGCUGAUGGCCCGAUGCUCUUGUUUAGUGAACUUAUCUUGGGUGCACCAUGGCAUCUUUGGAUGAGAACGGUGCCAUUAGUGCAAUUCAUUGAAGUGUUUGUUCAAUGUUCAUCAGCAUUCUUGUAAAGUACUAUGGAAGUUGUACUGUACAUUAUUUGACUGCCAAUGUCACCAUAUAAAGCAGUGCAGAUCAACAAUAUCUUUGUCUUACACAUAUACUAGUGGUGGUGAAGAAUAUAAGGAUUUGUAGGGACUGUCAUGAGGCUUUCAAGUAUAUGAGCAGAGUCAUCGAGAGGGAGAUUGUUGUGAGAGAUGUUAAUAGAUAUCACAGAUUUAUGGAUGGGAGUUGCACCUGUAGAGACUACUGGUGAUAUGUGCAUUGCAACUCUUGUGGAAAGCUUCUUGAAAUAUUUUUCAGGUAACAUACAUGAAUAUCCUGAGUUCCUGACAACACCUACAAUACUCUAUUCGGGGUCUAAAAAGAAGUCAGAAAUGAAUUAGGAUGUAUCUGAAAAGUGAAAACACAUGCAGAAAUAACAAACCAAAAUGCAUUCACUCACCAAGGUAUAAUUAGCCACAAAGAAGAUAGUUGAAGUUCAUUGAGUUAUCCUUUCAGGAUACACUAUAAAUCUGUAAUAACUUUGUGCACCAAAGCAGCGUGGAUAUUUGCAAGGAUUACAUAUGCCGAAUCAUCUUGUAAGUUGUUCUCCAAUAAUUUCUGACUCAUCUCGGUAGCUAUUUUUAUUUCACCAUGGAUUGCACAGGACGAGAGUAAUGCUCUCCAGAUCGCAGCAUCAGGCUUGAAAGGGAUUGUCUUGGCUAAUUGUGCGGCAUCCUCUAGUUGUCCAUUUCGACCCAAUGCAAGAACUACACAAGUAUAAUGCUCCAGUUUAGGUUCCACCCCGUAUUCUGAACUCAUGCAAUUAAGCCAUUUCUCAGCCUCAAGACUCAAACCUGCAUUACUACAAGCAGUGAGAAUUGCAAGAAAACUGAAUUCAUCAGCAAGAACCCCGUUCUGUUUCAUACAAUCAAACAAUCCAAUCACUGAAUUCACAUCCCCUUGUUGGGCAUAAGCCGCCAUCAUUGCAUUCCACCCAACAAUAUUCACAUCCACCAACAUUUCAUCAAAAACACGACGCGCAUCUGAAACAAUCCCUGAUUUUCCAUACCCAUCAAUCAAUGCAUUUCCCACAACAACACUUGAAUCAAGCCCUGUAACAAUACUAUGGGCAUGCAUUAUCCUACAUUGUUCAAGUGCAGCUAGGGCUGGCAAUGGACCGGUUCGGACCGGAUAUUAGAAAUACCAUACCCGAACCAAUAAAAAAACUAAUAAUCCCGGACCCGGAACCAGACCCUAUCGGGUCCGAAAGUAAGUAACCAUACCCGUACCAAAUCUUAUUGGAUCGGAUCCGGGUUGGAUUCGGGUAUUUUAACCAUGAAUUGAGAUGUCAAAAUUAUGUAUACAAAUUUAGAAAAAAUGAGUUACUUUUUAAGAAUCUAGAUAUAUUUAGUAAAUAUAUAUUAUCAAGUAUAAAAAUAUAGUAUAUGAAUAUAUGAUUUUAUUUAUUUCUAUGUUUCUAAUGUAAUUGCAUAUACUUAUAAGGUAAUUAGUAUUAAAAAAGUUAUUUACAAAAAUCAAAUUUCUAAAAUUUAGGAUUUUUAUGAUAUGUUAAUAAUGGUAGUGAAUCUAAAAUAUUCGAAACCUCAAAAUAAUUUAUAUCGGGUCCAUAUCGGUUCGGUAUCUACUAAUUCCAAACCCGGUCCAAUAACAAUCGGGUCCUAAUUUUAAGAACCAGACUCGUACCAAUACAUAAAAGUGCAAUACCAAACCCGUUCUUAUCGGUACGGAUCGGACCGGGUUUCGGGUCUAACCCGUACCAUUGCCAGCCCUAAGUGCAGCUAGUUCAGCCGCAGCACAAAGCGCACCAGACACACUGUACGGACUAGACUUUACAUUGUCAUACAACAUAUCAGAAAACACAGAUAAAGCUUGGGUCGAUUGAGAAUUUUGCGCAAGACCAACAAUUAUAGCCCCAUAACAAACUUCAUCUCUUUCAGACAUUCUAUCAAACACCUUGACAGCUUCAUAAGGCAUGUUACAUUUUGAGUAAAAACUAACUAAAGCAGAACCAGUGAAAGGUAAGUAAGAAAGACAGAGUUUCAGAGAAAGGGAAUGAACUUGAAGACCAAAGGGGAGAGAAGAGAGAGAUGCGCAGGUUUUGACGAGAGAGGUUAACGUGCGUUGAUUGGGCACUGUAGGAUGACGGAGCAUGGAAACAAAAUGAUGAAAAGACAAGUUGGUGUUGGCGUAUCCAGAGAUCAGAGCCGUCCAUGAGACUACAUUGGGAUAUUGAAUUUGAUGAAAAACACGGAGAGCGUCAGAAAGUAGAUUUGAUUUGGAAUAUUCGGUGAUGAGAUUGUUGAAUAGAAAUCGAUCUUUGUUGGCAGUUUUAAUAAGUUGCGCGUGGGUGCACCGUGGAUCGCUUGUUUUUAAAAUUUCUUCCAUGUAAACACACGAAUACAACUCACUCUCCUUUGAGAUGGUGCUUUUGUUGCUCACUUGCUCCGUUGCUCGCUCAAAGCAACAAAAUGACAAAAUCAGGUCAGAAAUGGGCUGAUCUUGCAAAACAAUAUCUAGCCCAAAUUGAUUAGGCCCAAAUAUAAUUUAAUUAAUUAUUAAUGAAUUGCACCCAUGUUCAUGUAAUCUUGUUCAGCUGAUGG